AUGAAGAACGCAGCGAAAUGCGAAACGCAAUGCGAAUUGCAGAACCGCGAGUCAUCAGAUCUUUGAACGCAAGUGGCGAUGGUUUAGGCCAUCAUGUUUGUUUCAGUGU
rnacentral:rRNA from 1 species